GUGAUGAGGGAAACCUUAGUUUCUUCAAUGCUUGGACAUACCUGGUUAUAUUAAACAGUUUGUCACAACUGUUUGGAAUGUACUCCUUGCUGUUGUUUUACAAAGUCCAAAAUGAAAACCACAGUCUUAUACAACGUGUUAGCAAGUUUCUCUGUCUGAAACUCAUGUUUUUUUAUUUCCUUUUGGCAAGCAGUACUUACAGUUUUGUUGGUUAUUACAAAGUGUUACUGGGAAUGGCAAAGUGCAGAAGCUGUGGUCAUAGGCCUGCAGGGUCUAAUAACCUAAAUUAAAAUGUUUUUUUAUGGCAGUUGCCCAUCACUAAAUGUUC
rnacentral:lncRNA from 1 species